AGCAGCCGCGGUAAUUCCAGCUCCAAUAGCGUAUAUUAAAGUUGUUGCAGUUAAAAAGCUCGUAGUUGAAUUUCGGGAUUGGCGUGUCGGUCGUGCCUUAAGGGGUAUGAACUGGCGUCGUCGAUUUCUCACCUUCUGGAGAAACACGAUGCCCUUAAUUGGGUGUCGUGCGGAACCAGGACCUUUACCUUGAAAAAAUUAGAGUGUUUAAAGCAGGCAUUUUUUGCUCGAAUACAUUAGCAUGGAAUAAUAAAAUAGGACGGUUGGUUCUAUUUUGUUGGUUUCUAGGAUCACCGUAAUGAUUAAUAGGGAUAGUUGGGGGCAUUAGUAUUCAAUUGUCAGAGGUGAAAUUCUUGGAUUUAUUGAAGACUAACUACUGCGAAAGCAUUUGCCAAGGAUGUUUUCAUUAAUCAAGAACGAAAGUUAGGGGAUCGAAGACGAUCAGAUACCGUCGUAGUCUUAACCAUAAACUAUGCCGACUAGGAAUCAGACGAUGUUAAUUUUUUAAUGACUGUUUGGCACCUUACGGGAAACCAAGUGUUUU
rnacentral:rRNA from 1 species